GAUGAAGAACGUAGCGAAAUGCGAUAAGUAAUGUGAAUUGCAGAAUUCAGUGAAUCAUCGAAUCUUUGAACGCACAUUGCGCCCGCCAGUAUUCUGGCGGGCAUGCCUGUUCGAGCGUCAUUUCAACCAUCAAGCCCCCCGGCUUGUGUUGGGGACCUGCGGCUGCCGCAGGCCCUGAAAAGCAGUGGCGGGCUCGCUGUCACACCGAGCGUAGUAGAUCUCAUCUCGCUCAGGGCGUGCUGCGGGUUCCGGCCGUUAAACCACCUUCAUAACCCAAGGUUGACCUCGGAUCAGGUAGGAAGACCCGCUGAACUUAAGCAUAUCAAUAAGCGAGGA
rnacentral:misc_RNA from 1 species